CUGAAAGUAGCUUAUUUUUAAAGUUUGGGAUUCUUACUCCUAGGAUGUUGUUUUAACCUUUUAGG
rnacentral:tRNA from 1 species